UUUACCUUUGUUGCAUAACUACAAACAAAUUUAGAACAUAAAACAACAAAAUUUAAUAAACUCUACUCUCACUAAAUGCACCAACCAACACAAUGAACCAUUUGCAUGUGCAAAAAAUACCACAAUCACCAUCAUCAAUAGUUCAAUAGCGAGUAUUUUACGCGUAGAACGAUCUUCCCUUUAUCUACACCAAGUUUCGCCCCUGUGACUAACCAAUGGCCCGGAACAUCUUGUGGGCCCUUUGACAUUUCCGUCAUGUCUACGAUUUUCGCUAGUUUUCCGGAUUGACUUGGACCAUCUCCUCCCUUAUCAUCUCCGGGUUUUUGAAGAGUGUUUGGGCUAUGAUCCCAUACUGAACGGCGUAUGGUACAACCUGGUACUUUGGAGAAGAGAAGUUUGAGGUGUAGGACACUUCUGGCACCGAAGUCCCAUACGCCAAACUGGGCCCCGGUGACAAUGUGGACCCCGGAGAGAUCGCCAAUGUAUGUCUCGGUGUGUUCUAUGGGUGCCGUACUUACAUGUGAGAAGUUCUUCCACUUGAUGGGUUCGAACCAACGACUGUCCUGCUCUUCGGGACCUUGCCACUUGGGUGCACCGAUGGCCAUGUGCGCAUCCCAAUGAGGUUGGAGGAUUUUUGGAAGCGACACCAAGUGUUGUAAAUGGAUCGCUAGCCUGUUUUGCUUGCUUCCUUCUAAGUUGAGUUUAAGCCCCGUAACUGGUUUACGCCCAACUGUAACCUGUAAACUCAAGGGGUGAAUAGAAAAUUCAUCGAAAAAACUAAUUUUUUGAUACAUAACUAGCGUGUCAAAUAUGAUUACAAAACUUAUAUUAAUUUAAAAGGCAUCUAACUUUUUGAAUCAUAUAAUGUAGGACUUUUGAUGCAAUAAAAAUACACACUGCCAUUUUUUUUUCUAGAGUAAAUUGCAUUUUACCUCCUUUAACUUCGACUCAAAUUACAGGUGCUGUCAUUUAACUAACGAAACUACACUGGAUGUCCUUUAUGUUGUUUCUCAUCAGGCGGUGUCCUUUUGCCCUAACUGAGUUAACUUUUUACGUUAACUCCUAACACGUGCCACUCACAUAUUAAGAGUUAACAGAAAAAACUAGCUGGGUUAGGGUAAAAAGACAUUGCCUAAUGAGAAACAGUAACAUAAGGACAUCCAGUGUAAGUUCGUUAGUUAAAGGACACCGCCUGCAAAUUUACUCUUUCUUCUACUUUAGUCGUUUGAACCGUUAAUCCGAUUCGAUCCAAUCCUAAGUUAAUGGGAGAAUAUUGCUGCUUCAAGAAAUCAUCAAGUAAACAGGCUCAUAAAAUUUAGAAGAAUACCUGCUCCAAACUUAUGAAAAGCUUCGGGCCCAUUAAACUAAACUGAAGUGACGGACAAACGGGUUCCUUUCUUUGAAUGUUACUUUGUUCCGGAGCCCAGACUCGAGGGAUUUGGAACUCCAAAAAAUAUUGUAAAUCCUCUAUAGGAGGCUUGUCUGGAAAACAGAUGAAACGUAUGAGAAUGCAAAGACUAACUGUUCCGGUCCAGGCCAAAUUUCAAAUUUGUACCAUUUCCGUCCCUGACAUUCUUGAAACAUGCCAGUUCCUUCCAAAAACUUAACAUCUGUUAAAACCUGCCGUUUAAUGAAGGCUGAAAAAAAAAGAUGAUUUAUGAUUAUAUAAAUCGUACAAUUCCGUCAUCUGAUUCGAGAAACAUGACAUAAUCUUGUAUAGAAUUGGUUUUCAGGUUCUAAAACCGACAGAAAAAAAAAAAUGAAGCUAUAUGUGAAAACGGAUCAAUUAAAGGCGUAAUGAAAAACAAGCAUAGUGUAUAAUCAGUUUCACUUACCUUGCUAACGAUGCAGGAUCCCAGGAAUACGGAACAGCACGUUUGACUUCGUCAAGCAGAACUAAAUCUGAAUUUUCUAAAUGAACCUCGAAUAACGGA
rnacentral:lncRNA from 1 species